UACAGAGGUCUCAAGCGUUGUUCGGAUUCACUGGGCGUAAAGGGUGCGUAGGCGGUCGGGUAAGUCUGACGUGAAAUCUUCAAGCUCAACUUGGAAACUGCGUCGGAUACUAUUCGGCUAGAGGAAUGGAGGGGAGACUGGAAUACUUGGUGUAGCAGUGAAAUGCGUAGAUAUCAAGUGGAACACCAGUGGCGAAGGCGAGUCUCUGGACAUUUCCUGACGCUGAGGCACGAAAGCCAGGGGAGCAAACGGG
rnacentral:rRNA from 1 species